CAGCCAGCCCCUGCUCACCCCU
rnacentral:miRNA from 1 species